rnacentral:tRNA from 1 species
GUCCUCGGUGGCUCAGAUGGAUAGAGCGUCUGCCGUGUAAGCAGAAGAUCCCGGGUUCGAGUCCCGGUCGGGACA